UUAAUCUUAUCACAAUGCUUCACAUUCUUAGGGCAAAAGUGUAUUUGAGCUGCUGAAACUGCUGGAAAAAGGUGACAGAUUGAAACAGCCUAAAACGUGUACACUAGAAUUUUACAAAACAUUGCGGAAUUGUUGGGAACUAGAGCCUGAGAGACGACCAACUUUUGAAGACCUUGUCUAUCAGUUUAAUACCAUGAUGAUGUCUCCCAAAAAAUAUG